GAUAAGAACGUAGCGAAAUGCGAUACGUAAUGUGAAUUGCAGAAUUCAGUGAAUCAUCGAAUCUUUGAACGCACAUUGCGCCCGCCAGCACUCUGGCGGGCAUGCCUGUUCGAGCGUCAUUUCAACCAUCAAGCCCCAGGCUUGCGUUGGAGCCCUGCGGCUGCCGCAGCCUCCUAAAAGCAGUGGCGGGCUCGCUAUCACACCGAGUGCAGUAGACUUCUCUUCGCUCAGGGCGUGUGGCGGGUUCUAGCCGUAAAACCCCCUACUUUUUUAAGUUUGACCUCGGAUCAGGUAGGAAUACCCGCUGAACUUAAGCAUAUCAAUAAGCGGAGGA
rnacentral:misc_RNA from 1 species